rnacentral:lncRNA from 1 species
GUCUGUCCUCUUUUUUUCUCCAGUCUUAGGCACAGGCUGUGAGCAUUGUCUUAGGAUUCAUGCCUCUUGGGGUGAAAUUUGAGUCCUGUGUUGGAGGCUUCAGUAUGACAGAAACUUCCUGAAGGCUUCAGUAAGACAAAAAAUUGUUCCUCAUCAGCUACCUUGUCUUCAGCCAUAAGCAGCAAGAUUAAGAAAAUUGUUCAUUCAAUUGUGUCAUCCUUUGCAGUUGGGUAUGUGAGACAUAGAAAACACCAUGUAUUAAAUAUACGUGAGACUUAAUGCAUAAAAAACACCACGUAUUAAAUAUAUCUGAGACUUGGCCAGGUGUGGUAGCUCACGCCUGUAAUCCCAGCACUCUGGGAGGCCAAGGCAGGUGGAUCACCUGAGGUCAGGAGUUCAAGACCAGCCUGGCUAACACGGUGAAACCCCGUCUCUAUUAAAAAUAAAAAAAUUAGCCAGACAUGAUGGCGAGUGCCUGCAAUGCCAGCUGCUCGGGAG